UCUACACUUCCUGCUCUUCAACUGAACAUCAUGAAGCUCUUGGUGCUCCUAGUGCUGGUGGCAUCUUCCACCUUCUUGGUCUUGGGCAAGGAUUCUUCUAAUACAACUGAGCCGCUCACCGAUGUACCUGAAGCUGAAACGGACAUUGCUCCUGAUGAUGAAACAACCACAGAUGAACCUGACCAAUACCCCACCACUCUUCUUGACAUACUGAAAAAAUUACUUUCCCACUAAUGGAUACUUUCCCACCUUGGGCUUCAACAUUUGAUUGUGCUGAUAUGGGCCAAUGAUUUCUCCAUUUGAGAUUCUUCGAUUACUACUACCUUGCAUACCAAAUAUUUCAAAUUGAGUUAUUUACUUCCAAAUAAAACUAAUUAUCAGCAACACCCCAAAUUUGUUUUAUUUAGGAGUCCUUACCUGUUGUUUUAGUCAAGUCAAAUGACAGAAACUUUGAAUUUUAUUAAUCCCAUUUUAAUGUAACUUCUGAGUCAUAAAUUUCUUUUAAUUUUGAUAAGUCAGAGGUGAACUGAGAGGGAGAGA